rnacentral:rRNA from 1 species
AGCGAACGCUGGCGGCAGGCUUAACACAUGCAAGUCGAACGGGCACUUCGGUGCUAGUGGCAGACGGGUGAGUAACACGUGGGAACGUACCUUUCGGUUCGGAAUAAUACAGGGAAACUUGUACUAAUACCGGAUACGCCCUUCGGGGGAAAGAUUUAUCGCCGAUAGAUCGGCCCGCGUCUGAUUAGCUAGUUGGUGAGGUAAUGGCUCACCAAGGCGACGAUCAGUAGCUGGUCUGAGAGGAUGAUCAGCCACACUGGGACUGAGACACGGCCCAGACUCCUACGGGAGGCAGCAGUGGGGAAUAUUGGACAAUGGGCGAAAGCCUGAUCCAGCCAUGCCGCGUGAGUGAUGAAGGCCUUAGGGUUGUAAAGCUCUUUUGUCCGGGAAGAUAAUGACUGUACCGGAAGAAUAAGCCCCGGCUAACUUCGUGCCAGCCGCCGCUGUAA